rnacentral:rRNA from 1 species
UGGGGAAUUUUGCACAAUGGGCGAAAGCCUGAUGCAGCAACGCCGCGUGUGUGAUGAAGGUCUUCGGAUCGUAAAGCACUUUCGACCGGGACGAACACCCCUUGGCUAACAUCCAAGGGCCUGACGGUACCGGGAGAAGAAGCACCGGCUAACUCUGUGCCAGCAGCCGCGGUAAUACAGAGGGUGCAAGCGUUGUUCGGAAUUAUUGGGCGUAAAGCGCGUGUAGGCGGCUUUGCAAGUCGGGUGUGAAAUCCCUCAGCUUAACUGAGGAAGUGCGCCCGAAACUGCCGAGCUUGAAUACCGGAGAGGAUGGCGGAAUUCCCCAAGUAGAGGUGAAAUUCGUAGAUAUGGGGAGGAACACCGGUGGCGAAGGCGGCCAUCUGGACGGCUAUUGACGCUGAGACGCGAAAGCAUGGGGAGCAAACAGGAUUAGAUACCCGCGUAGUCC